rnacentral:tRNA from 2 species
GGGCCGAUAGUUUAGGGGUAGAGCGUCACGUUCGCAACGUGGAAGUCGAGGGUUCGAUUCCCUCUCGGUCCA